AAUGAACGUUGGCGGCGUGGAUUAGGCAUGCAAGUCGUGCGAGAAGUCUUUUGCUUGCAUUAGACGGAAAGCGGCGAAAGGGAGAGUAAUACGUGGAUAACCUACCCCUGGGUUCGGGAUAGCUGCGGGAAACUGCAGGUAAUACCGAAUAACAUCCCCGGAUCAAAGGUGUGAUUCCGCCUAGGGACGGAUCCACGUCCUAUUAGCUUGUUGGUGGGGUAACGGCCUACCAAGGCGACGAUGGGUACCGGGCGUGAGAGCGUGACCCGGCUCACUGGGACUGAGACACUGCCCAGACACCUACGGGUGGCAG
rnacentral:rRNA from 1 species